GACGAACGCUGGCGGCGCGCUUAACACAUGCAAGUCGAGCGAGAACCAGGGCUUCGGCCCUGGGGAAAGCGGCGAACGGGUGAGUAACACGUGAGUAACCUGUCCUCGGCACCGGGAUAGCCCGGGGAAACCCGGAUUAAUACCGGAUGGCCUUUCGAGUCUUCGGGCUCGUCAGAAAAGUUAGCUUCGGCCUCCGGCCGAGGAGGGACUCGCGGCGGAUUAGCUUGUUGGUGAGGUAACGGCUCACCAAGGCGACGANCCGUAGCUGGUCUGAGAGGACGAUCAGCCACACUGGGACUGAGACACGGCCCAGACUCCUACGGGAGGCAGCAGUGGGAAUCUUGCGCAAUGGGCGAAAGCCUGACGCAGCGACGCCGCGUGCGGGAAGAAGGCCUCGGUUG
rnacentral:rRNA from 1 species